CGCGCGCCCGCUGCAGCUCCGCCGCCCGACAGCAGAGGCCUCCCUUCCAGGGCGGCGCAGGCUGAGCCCGGCGAGGUCCCCGCGCGGCCGGCUCGCUGUCCCCGGCCGCUGUCUCCCGCUGCAGGCGGCGGCGCCGGGUCUCGGAGGAGAAUGCUCUGAUAUUUAUUUGCACCUGGCCUUGGUGGAUCACUGGAAACUUGCCCAGUGCCAGUGAACUAUACCAUGACGUCACUGCAGCACACCCUCUUCUGGCAGGCUGCGCUUCUAUUUGCUGAAGAUGUUUUCACAUGAACAUCCUUCUGGUGUAAGUUCAGGCUGUUAUCAGCUCUAUUUGUUUUUUAAAUGCGUUUUAGCCACUACCAUUUCCUUAAUCUACCCAGAGAAGUGUCCACAGAGUUGAACGUUCACCUUCAAAGACAAUAUCGUGUUCUCCAUUCCAUUCUGGGGUCCCAGAGGCGCCUGCAGGUGUGACCUCCAUGCCACAUGAGGAACGAGCUCUUGCUCCAUUUUACUUGUGGACACAGAGAGCUGAAUCUUCAACUGAGAACGAGGCAGAUUAAUCCUUCCCCCUGAAAGGAAAACUAUCGAAGGCAGCAGAGUUCUGCCUGAGUAAGCCACAUGCCCAGAGCCCCAUCGGUGUUUCCUGGAUGUCUCUGUGGAAGCAGCUCUUCCGUCCUGGCCAGGGGAAGCACGUGUCAUCCUGGAUGUGUCCAUGGAAGCAGCUCUUCCGUCUGCCCAAGAGGAGCGUGUGUCAGUGAGCCGUGUGUGCUCGCCAUUGGUGUGGACCGACAUGAUCAACUGCAGAACUGUAAGGCCAGAGGGUGCGCCAGGCACAGUAAAGGCUCCAAACACAGGGCCAGGGCUCAGCAAACAUUUGGCUUGAGUUUUUCAUGGAUUUUAUCGUACACUGUCAAUUACUAUAGAGUAUUUGUGGCUCAGCUGUAUAUUCUUAUCACAAAAAUGUGGCUACUGCUCUUUUGGCUAUUUAACAGGCCUCAGACAUCUGGCAGAAACCGUUUACUUAAAUAUUUCUUCACAAGACAAACAUGCUUCCACACACACUGAAAGAAUUCCAUGAGUGUUCUUAUAAGCCAGCCUGAGUAGGAAAAGCAUUGUUCCGAGAGAAAUUUAACUGCAUUGUGGUUACCAAAUAUUUAAUAUUUUAAAGAGGAAGUUCUAAAAUUUAAUAGAUGAUUUUAUUAUUACUCUUUGAAUGUAAUUAACUAGGGCUGCACUUUAAACUGCUCUAUUCUGGUUACUGAAAUAGGUUUUAUGGUUUACAAUGGGGGAAAAAACCCUCUGUCAGACUGUGGGCCUCUCCCUUGGCGCACAUUAUUAUGGUCUCUUUAGAGACCAGCACGCCAUUUUGCUGUCAGUGGUCUUGUUCUAGUAGAGCGGGUUUAUAUAUGCAAUCCUCUUGGGAAUUGGUGUCAGAAAAAGGAUCCCCAGUUAGCAGCUGACAUAGUUCCUGCUCACAGUCAGAAGAGCGCCUCAAGCAGCAAAUGAACACAUAUUUCAUUUUUUAUGUGCUGUUAAAAUGUUAUAUCAUUAAGUCAAAAGAACAUAUUUGUCUCAUGUAGGUUGACUUUAGGAGAUAGCUCUUGCUUUCAGUAUGAACGAGGGCUUGUGGCUCAAGAGAAAACGCUCCGCAGAAGCCAGCUGGCCAGGACCUGCCUGAGAGAAUGCGGCCUGUAAGCCUCAAAUGCCAGUUUUUCCAGGGCUGUCGGCACACUCAUGGUCUGUUCUCAGAUACUUUAAGUACCGAGAGGGCUAUAGAGGAAGCUAAACGGUGUGGAGUUUAGUUUAUACUUGUAUAUAUUUUUCAAACACUCAAUUCCCAUCUAAUUGCUUUAUCAGAUCACAGAAUCCAUCCACUCAUUUAUCAGCAAAUAAAUGUUUAGCAGCAACGAAAACAUAGUAGGCACUGUUCUAGGCCCAGGCAAAAGGGUAUAAAAUACAGCAAGUGCUUGCUCCGUACGAGAGCUUGUCUGGUGAGGACGUCAGACAGACGGGAAGAUCUGAUCACAGAGAGCAUGUCCUCCACAUGAAUGCACUUGGCUGUUCUAUUACUAGGUGCCGUGCCCAUCAGCGUGAGGCCAGAAGUGCCAGUCAGCAGCUGGAUGGCACCUGGUACACAGCAAAAACUUUUUGGAUGAAUUAAUUAGUGGUGGAACUGAUGCUAUUAAAAAUGCGUGUAAUGACUGUCCUGGCUAGUUUUUAUGUCGGCUCGAUACAAACUAGAAUCAUCUGAGAGGAGAGGGUACAGCAAUGGGCUAGGGCCCCUCAUGGCAAUAACUAAGGAAAUGUCCCCAAAGUCCUGGGUUCUAUAAGACAGCAGGCUGAACAAGCCAUAGGAGCAAGCCAGGAAGUAGUGCCCUCCACGGCUUCUUCAUCAGCUCCUGCCUCCAGGUUCCUUACCCAUUUGAGUUCCUAAAUUGUCUUCCCUCCAUGGACUGUGGUUCAGGAUGUGCAAGCCAAAUAAACCCUUGCCUCCCCA